rnacentral:rRNA from 1 species
CAGCAGCCACGGUAACACGAAGGGGGCUAGCGUUGUUCGGAAUUACUGGGCGUAAAGCGCACGUAGGCGGAUAUUUAAGUCAGGGGUGAAAUCCCAGAGCUCAACUCUGGAACUGCCUUUGAUACUGGGUAUCUUGAGUAUGGAAGAGGUGAGUGGAAUUCCGAGUGUAGAGGUGAAAUUCGUAGAUAUUCGGAGGAACACCAGUGGCGAAGGCGGCUCACUGGUCCAUUACUGACGCUGAGGUGCGAAAGCGUGGGGAGCAAACAGGAUUAGAUACCCCGGUAGUCCCUGUCUCUUAUAC